rnacentral:rRNA from 1 species
AUUGAACGCUGGCGGCAGGCCUAACACAUGCAAGUCGAACGGUAACAGGAAGCAGCUUGCUGCUUUGCUGACGAGUGGCGGACGGGUGAGUCAUGUCUGGGAAACUGCCUGAUGGAGGGGGAUAACUACUGGAAACGGUAGCUAAUACCGCAUAACGUCGCAAGACCAAAGAGGGGGACCUUCUGGCCUCUUGCCAUCGGAUGUUCCCAGAUGGUAUUAGCUAGUAGGUGGGGUAACGACUCACCUAGGCGACGAUCCCUAGCUGGUCUGAGAGGAUGACAAGCGACACGGGAACUGAGACACGGUCCAGACUCCUACGGGAGGCAGCAGUGGGGAAUAUUGCACAAUGGGCGCAAGCCUGAUGCAGCCAUGCCGCGUGUAUGAAGAAGGCCUUCGGGUUGUAAAGUACUUUCAGCGGGGAGGAAGGGAGUAAAGUUAAUACCUUGGCUCAUUGACGUUACCCGCAGAAGAAGCACCGGCUAACUACGUG